rnacentral:rRNA from 1 species
AUUGAACGCUGGCGGCAGGCCUAACACAUGCAAGUCGAGCGGAUGAAGGGAGCUUGCUCCUGGAUUCAGCGGCGGACGGGUGAGUAAUGCCUAGGAAUCUGCCUGGUAGUGGGGGAUAACGUCCGGAAACGGGCGCUAAUACCGCAUACGUCCUGAGGGAGAAAGUGGGGGAUCUUCGGACAUCACGCUAUCAGAUGAGCCUAGGUCGGAUUAGCUAGUUGGUGGGGUAAAGGCCUACCAAGGCGACGAUCCGUAACUGGGCUGAGAGGAUGAUCAGUCACACUGGAACUGAGACACGGUCCAGACUCCUACGGGAGGCAGCAGUGGGGAAUAUUUGGCAAUGGGCGAAAGCCUGACCCAGCCACGCCGCGUGUGUGAAGAAGGUCUUCGGAUUGUAAAGCACUUUAAGUUGGGAGGAAGGGCAGUAAGUUAAUCCCUUGCUGUUUUGACGUUACCAACAGAAUAAGCCCCGGCUAACUUCGUG